rnacentral:rRNA from 1 species
AUUCCAGCUCCAAUAGCGUAUAUUAAUGUUGUUGCAGUUAAAAAGCUCGUAGUUGGAUUUCUGGUGGGAGCGUCCGGUCCGCCGUAAGGUGUGUACUUGGUUGUCUCCUGUCAUCCUUGUGGGAACUGCUCUGGCAUUAAGUUGUCGGGGUUAGGGAACACAUCGUUUACUGUGAAAAAAUUAGAGUGUUUAAAGCAGGCUUAUGCCGUUGAAUACAUUAGCAUGGAAUAAUAAGAUAGGACUUUGGCGUCUAUUUUGUUGGUUUGCACACCAAGGUAAUGAUUAAUAGGGAUAGUUGGGGGUAUUCGUAUUUAAUUGUCAGAGGUGAAAUUCUUGGAUUUAUGAAAGACGAACUUCUGCGAAAGCAUUUACCAAAGAUGUUUUCAUCA